AUCCUCGUGGAAACUAGUCGGGUUCAUUACCGUUGAGCCACAGUGGGAACUCCUAAAAUUUAUCUGUUGAAGAACCUGGUCCAUUUGACUUGUAGAGUUCCCACAAUCUGGACUUUACUAACUGCAUUUCAAGGACUGGUCAGCAUUGUCAUAUGUCUUUUGUAUUGUGUACAAAUUAGCAGCAAGAUGCAAAGGCAUUAUCAGACUCAAGUGAUUCCUUUGACGAGUCUACACAUUUUGUAUGGUUGCCUGGUUGUCCCUUUCUUUGUGAGAUGUUAGCAGCCACUGUUGCUCUUUGCCUAAAUCCAAUUCACAGGGGAUUGAAAACUGGUUAAUUCCUAAUUCUUUCUUUUUACUUAUUUGCUGAAAUACAUCUAUAAAGAGAUGCUUGCAACUACUUACAUACCCAAUAGUACAAUUCAUGUUGGAAAGGCAGAAUAAAUGCUUAACCCUUUCCCUUUGUUUGCCAGUUUUCAAGAUCAUGAAUUGGUUUCCUAUCAUACUCCAAAUGUGAUCAGCUUUUUAAAAUAUCACUGUGAGCUCAAAGAUUUAAGCAUAUUUGAUCAGUUUUAAUCCAUUGCACUUAUAUGGACACUCCAGUUGUCCCAUUUUUGCUCAGUAAGCUAUUCAAGUUGUUUCCUGGGUCCUUUUGUUUUUUGCGUUUUUUUUUUUUUUUUUGUCUUUUUGCCAUUUCUAGGGCCGCUUCCAUGGCAUAUGGAGGUUCCCAGGCUAGGGGUUGAAUCAGAGCUACAGCCUCUGUCCUGUGCCACAGCCACAGCAACAAGGGAUCUGAGCCGUGUCUUCGACCUACACUACAGCUCACCACAAUGCCAGAUCCUUAACCCACUGAGCAAGGCCAGGACUUGAACCCGCAAACUCAUGGUUCCUAGUCAGAUUCGUUUCCGCUGCACCACAACAGGAACUCCUCAUUGUCCAUUUUAUAAUCUUUGAAUUACAUUUUGUAAUUUUUAAGAGCCCAUCGUGUGUGUGUGUGUGUGUGGGGGGGGUGUCUAUAUGUGCUUUUUAGGGCUCCACCCACAGCAUAGGGAGGUUCCCAAGCUAGGGGUCUAAUUAGAGCCACAGCUGCCGGCCUAUGCCACAGCAACAGCAAUGCCAGAUCCCAGAUGCAUCUGUGACCUAUACCACAGUUCACAGCAAUGCUGGAUCCUUAACCCACUUGAUCGAGGCCAGGGACCGGACCUGCAGCCUCAUGGAUGCUAGUCAGAUUCAUUUCCACUGCGCCAUGUUGGGAACUCCCAAGAGCCCAUCUUUGGUAGGACUUUAUUUCUGUAAAUUUUGUAUGAUCUGGGUUGAGAUUUCCUCUCUAGAGAAAUUUAGUGUUUGCUCUUUUCAAAUGCCUAAAUGAAGGUCCUAAAAACAUGUAAUUAGUGUAAAUAUGAUCCUCAAACCCGCCUGAGGGUAGGCCUGUGUUUACACUUUUUUUUUUUUUUUUAACUUUUUAGGGCCACACCUGUAGC
rnacentral:lncRNA from 1 species